UACACACACAUACUAGCCUACUACCUAGUACAGUCAAUAAAUUAGUACAAAGGAGUGUGUUCAGGCCUCAGUGGAGCAUAUCCAGGCGCACUAGCCUGUUUCCUGAGCUCAUGGCGUAUUACAUACAAGCUUAUUAAAAAGGCUGGAGACUUUUUGGAAAAAUGAACAAACGCUGUUUUCCUCAGAGCCCUACAGACAUGAUGCUGGUUAAGAAGGAGCAGAAAGAUGCCGAGCUGGAUAGGAAGAUUGAGGCGUUGCGAAAGAAGAACGAGGCCCUUAUGAAGCGCUAUCAGGAGGUGGAGGAGGAUAAGAAACGGGGCGGAGCAGGAGGGCAUGGCAAUGCAGAGCCGCAAAGGGAAGGUUGAGGACCUGACCAUCACCAUCAACAAGUCCCCAACUGAGAAGCGUGUUGUAACCAAGAAGGGUUGGGAGAUGCAAUUCCUAAAGGGGUGAAGAACCAGGAGGACGUGUCCGACAUUUUUAGUGCUGGCCGUGGUAAAAGGAGGCAGCUUCUAGUCACUGCACCAGGAAACACUAAGGUUGGAAAGAAGCAGGAACGAAAGUGUCGAGUUGAAGGUGGUCAUCAUGGAUUCACUGAGUAUAACCCCUAUCCCCAGCAAACCGAAGUGCUGACUGAUCUCAGCAUCCCCA
ensembl:lncRNA